UUUUUUUAUAAACAAUAAAGUAUAAUGUAUCGAUAUAACCGCAAAGGCGACCGACACUUUUGAAUUUUUUUUUUUUCAACCCGUCUAGGUCGUGCACGGUGACCGCUUAAUGCGAGUCCUUAUUGCCUUAUUAUUGUACCGCCGUAUUUAAUACGAAUAAAACGACUGCCCGGUAUAAUAAUAAUACGGUCGAUCACUAUUUUUUCAACCCGAUACCCGAACGAAAGUCGCGGGUCGGUAUGGAAAUUAACCGAUAUGCGGG